rnacentral:rRNA from 1 species
UGCCAGCAGCCGCGGUAAUACGGAGGGUGCAAGCGUUGUUCGGAAUUAUUGGGCGUAAAGCGCGUGUAGGCGGUUCGUUAAGUCUGAUGUGAAAGCCCGGGGCUCAACCCCGGAAGUGCAUUGGAAACUGGCGAACUUGAGUACGGGAGAGGAAAGUGGAAUUCCGAGUGUAGGGGUGAAAUCCGUAGAUAUCGGAAGGAACACCAGUGGCGAAGGCGACUAUCUGGAUAGAAACUGACACUGAGUCACGAAAGCAUGGGUAGCGAACAGGAUUAGAUA